GCUUAGAUCAGGGAACAUCCGAGGCAGGCGGGUGCCUUCGCCGCUCCAGUCCUUCCUCAGCCCUGCAACAGCCUCCUGCUCUUUCCAAUGCGUCCCCUCUGGGCAGCAGGCUCAGGCACGAUGCAGGGGCGUCUGGCAGGGCCAGGGCCACCGAUGCUGCUGCUGGCCAGGACUGAAAAAUGCAGACUGCAGGCAACACAAGCAAGCAGGACAACCCCACUCAGAUUGUGUGUGUGUGUAAAGUUUGAUGGAACUGCACAGGCUGGGGGCGUGUGGGGAAAUAUCUAUAAGUGGCAAUCGGCUGAGCAGCUGGGAGGAACUUCAGAGAAGAGACAGAAUAUUAAGAGCCACUACUUCCCACAGCCAUCUAUGCAGUUCCUCGGUGCUCCCCGCACCCUCUGCAGCCUGGAAGGCCCAGGACGAUAAGGGCACUAUCUCCGAGCGGCCAGGCCUGGGCCCAGCAGGGAGGCUGCACCGCACAUGGCCGUGGCGUCAGAAGUCAGAUGCGUUUCGGUGUAGUUGGUGAGAUGGCCACAGGGUCCUCCACCACAAGCCCUGCGGAGAGACCAGCACGGAGGAAGGAACAGGAACUCAGGUUAGCUUUCCGCACCUCUCUGAGGAGGCUAAGCGCCCAGCACUGGCUGCUGAAAACGCAGCGAACACAGAGGAGAAAGUCCCCACACACUUCUCAGUUCUGCAACAGUGAACUGGAAUAGAUGUACACCGACCCCAUCUCACCUGCUACCCCAGGGGAUAGGCAGACCUCAACAUUCAUUCUUCAAGAUGCUCAAACCACUGAAGAAAGCUCAAAGUGAUUUGGGCAAGACAGGAAAAGCCAAGGCUACUUGGUGCCAGAGACAGGGACUGCUGUGGCAUCGAGCCUUCAAGACCUCCCUAGACAUGCAGCCCAGCUGAGGAGCUGUCUUCAAACCCAGGCAGGGCCAAGAAGCAGGGCGGCUCUGGUGGCAGCAGUGAGGGCUCAGAUAUCGGGGAAAUCUGGAAGGAUGGCUGGAGCCAGAAUGCCACUUAGACAUAAGUGGAUGACGGUUUCAACAGGAACUUUGCCAAAUGAUUCUCCCUUCAAUGGCUGGGGCUUGGUUUCAAGUGAAUGCUACCGUUUGAGUUGAGGAUUCCAGGCAGAAACUGAGAGGAACAUGGUGUUAUCUGUUUGGCCCCUGUGUGCUUGUGGUCACUGAGUAAAGACAAAAUACAUCUUCGCCACUCUGCAAUUUCUUCCCUUCCUCCACAGCAAUGAAGAUGAACUUCUUUCCUGAUGAAGGAGCUAGCCUGUGAAUCUUCAGUGUGUGACCAGGCCAGAGAUGCAUCCUGUUUCUAGAAAGGCGAUGGAGGAACCACUCUGGGCAUUCUGCUGGGAUAAGGAAUGAGCUACAAGCCUGGGUUCCUGCAGCACGGCCCAAGAGAAGAGGCACAGGACAGUCCUCAGGUGAGCUCUUGCACUGUCAGUGGGAAGCCGGAAAGCAGACAGCUCAGAGCGCCUGGUGCUCCUUGGCAGAGGUGGAAUGGUGAGCCUUGACAAACGUCAGAAGAUGGGGGAUAAAGAGGCUUUCCAAUCCUUGAUGCCAGCAAGGAAACAAAGCCCAGGAGCCUGCAGCCAGUGAAGACGCCCUCAGCACACCAGGCGAGGGGAGAGGAGAAGGGGAAACUGCAGGCAAGCCCCGCCAGUGGCUGAGGCAUGCUCACCAGGGUCAGCAGGCAGUCAGGUUUGGCAGAAUCAGCUAGUAAAGGGAAAAGCAGGCUGGAUGCGGCACUUGGUCUUUCUGCCACCGGACUCAACCUUCUCCCCCAACCUCUGGUUCUUCUUUAAAACACUGGUGUUCCCAAAGGCUCUGAGCCCUCUCCCUUUCCAUCCAGGUUUUCCUCGAAUGGCUCUGUGCUCAAGCCUUCGAGCCCUGACUCGCUAUACAAGGACCUCUAAAUCUACAUCUCUCGGCCGGGCAUGGUGGCGCAUGCCUGUAAUCCCAGCACUUUGGGAGGCCGAGGCAGGAGGAUCACUUUGAGUCCAAGAGUUCAAAACCAGCCUGGGUCACAUGGCGAAACCCCAUCUCCACAAAAAUGCAAAACAAUUAGCUGGGUGUUGGUGGCAUGCUCCUGUAGUCCCAGAGAGGCUGAGGCUGGAGAAUUGCUUGAACCCGGGAGACAGAGGCUACAGUGAGCCCAGAUCGCACCACUGUACUCCAGCCUGGGUGACAGGGUAAGACCUUGUCUC
rnacentral:antisense_RNA from 1 species